AAACUAAACUCUAACUCCCUGUAAGGUGACAACUGUGGUUUUGCACAGACAGUUAUUGUACCCAGUAUGGAAUUCUGAGGGAAUAAUGCACCUCUCACAACAGGAGUCACCCAGAUAGAAGCAAGGUACUGUCAAGGACCCAUUCAGUGCAAGCCACUUGGAGUGCUUUUCCCUGGUAGAUUGUUGGUGAGUUCUAUCCACGGCUUUUUCAAACCUCCCUGGGGUUGGCUGAUGGUCCAUUUGUUUAUUCUGAGCUGGUUAUUUAAAGAUCCUGUUUGAUAGAUACCUUUCUGAUUUGGGUUUGCUUUCAAAGUUUACAGUAUAUUGUUUGCUUGCUUUGGAAGCAUUUUGGUCUAGACAUUUGGUAUUGUUUGUUUGCUUGUUUGUUUGCUUGCUUACUUUCAGAUUUCCAAAGUCAUUCUGGAUUCUUACUGGCUUAUUUUCAGCCAUGCUCCAUUUUAAACCUUUGAAGACAUUUUGGUUUCUGGUUUGGUGUCUUGGUUUUCUUUGCUUUUGGAGUGAUUUACUACAUUUUUCCUUUGUCUCUUGAUACUAUUCUGAUCCCUGGUUGUGCCCCCUUUCAUGUGGCUUUUCCUGCUUAUUUCACAUGUAUCUUAGGAAACUGAUGGAGUGCCUGACCAUAAAGAAACAAAUGAUAUGAGGCAUUGUUCCCUGUAACCCAACAGAGUUGUCUGUGCCAUGGCCUCAUAGGGAAAUCCAAAAAUGCCUUUCUUCUGGGUCAAAGGGAACUUUAGUACUUAUCUGGAAACACAUAAGGCUUGAUUACCCAGUGACCUUGAGCACAUUCAUGUUUUUAUAAAGGAUAACCCCAAGGCCCAGUGGAAGAGGGUGGAGGGUUCUGGUCCAAAUUCACAAAUUCAAUUCUGAUCCAGAAUAGAAAUUCCUAGCUAACAUUGAGGUGCUUGCAAGUUUUCUUUUCAGGAGGAAGGGGGAAAAUGGGGUGGUGGGUCAGAGGACAUUAAGGUUUCCAGAAUGAGGAAGUGUUUAGAGAUAAACUACCAUCUGGUACCCCAGGCAGCUUUCUGCACGUGACGAUUACAAACUUUCAACCCACAAGAGUUUGGGGGAAAAUGGGGAGGUUUAACCAUAGAUAAUUUGGCUUUCCUGACUAUCACCUGUGCCUUCUGUAAUGAUGAUAGCAUGGAUUUGGAGAUGGGAGUGUGUCAGUUGCUUUUCCUGUAAUGUUCUGAAGAAUAGGUGGACCUCUGGCCUCUGUAUUUGUUACAGUCAAAACAGAUACAUUUAAACUCUGCAUGUUUAACUUUAUGGGAGAAUAUUUUUAAAAGUAGAAGCUGGAAAGAUAGUUUAUGGGUUAAGCGCAUUGGUGGCUUUUCCAUAGGACCCGGUUUGAGUCCUAGCACCCACAUAGUAACUCAAAAUCAUCUGGAAAUCUAGAUGCCUAUUCUGGCCUCCAUGGGCACUGCAUUCAUGUGGCACACAUACAAAACACCCGUACACACAAAAUAAUAAAACAAUUUAAAUAAACUGUCGACCUUUUAAAACUAGGUACACCUAGAUUAUAAUUGUUUCAUGUGUGUCUGUGAUAACUGUUUUAAUGCGUUGUUUGUGUCAAGAGAAAUUUUUUAAAACUGUGACCAUAUCAGUUUUUUAUAAUUUAUUUUUAUGGUAUGCUCAAAACAUUAUUUAUGGCAUGCCUAAUCAAAAUGCAUGUGUGUAUAUAUAAAAUGUGGGUAUUUUAGUAAUUCUUGAGGAAUAUAUACCAUUUUAUAAACUUGGUACUCUGAAUAUCUUAAAACUUUAUAAAAUCAUAUCUUUGGGUCUAUCAACUAUUUCAAAAAACUGAAAAGUACUUACUAUUAAUAUAAAACAAUAAUCAUUAGAGCCAGAAGAUACAUAUUUUAUUAAGCUAUAAAAUUUAAAGUAAUAUACAUAGAUUUGAUAAGGUUUUCCUUCCAAAAGAGAUUCUGAAUUAAUACACUAAUUAAAAAUUUAUUCCACACGUGAAUAAUAGUCAUGGGUAACAUAAAAUCAUAUAUUUUCUUUUUCAAAAAAUCUUUUUCUGCUUAUUCUGUUUUUUUAAAUUUGGUUAUUUUACUUAUUUAUAUUUCAAAUGUUAUCCCCCUUCUGUAGUUUCCCCUCUGCAAAGGCCCUAUCCAUCCCUAUCCCCCUGUCUCUAUGAGGGUGCUCCACCACCCCCAACACUCCUACCUCACUGCCCUAGCAUUCCCCUGUGCUGAGACAUCAAGCCUUCACAGGACUAAGGACCUCCCCUCCCAUUGACCUCAGAUAAGGCCAUCCUCUGCUACAUAUGCAGCUAGAGCUAUGUGUCCCUCCAUGUGUAUUCUUUGGUUGGGGGUUUAGUUCCUGGGAGCUGUGGCAAGGGGGGGGGUGUCUGGUUGGUUUGUUUUGUUGAAAACCCCUUGAACUCCUUCAAUUCUUCCCCUAACUCCUCUAUCAGGGUCCCAUGCUCAGUCCAAUUGUUGGCUGCAAACAUCUGCAUCAGGCUCUGGCACAGCCUCUCAGGAGACAGCUAUAUCAGGCUCCUGUCAGGAAGGACUUCUUGUCAUCCCUAAUAGUGUCUGGGUUUGAUGGCUGCAUAUGGGAUGGGCCAUCUCCGGAUGGCCUUUCCUUCAGUCUCUGCUCCAUUCUUUGUCCCUGUAUUUUCUUUAGACAGGAUCAAUUCUGGGUGAAAAUUUUGAAGAUGGGUAGGUGGCCCCAUCCCUCAACUGGGGUCCAUGCCUAACCUCUGGAUAUGGUCUCUACAGCUUCUGUCUCCUCUUUGUUGGGUAUUUCAGCUAAUAUCAUCCUCAUCAGGUCCUGGGAGCUUCUUGCUUUCCUGGCAUCUGAGACUUUCUGGUUGCUACCCCCCAGUUCACCAUCCUCUUAAAAAUUUAAAUGUAGGGGCUAGAGAGAUGGCUCAGCAGUUAAGAGCACUGACUGCUCUUCCAAAGGUCCUGAGUUCAAAUCCCAGCAACCACAUGGUGGCUCAUAACCAUCUGUAAUGAUAUCUGAUGCCCUCUUCUGGUGUGUCUAAAGACAGCUGCAAUGUAUUUACAUAUAAUAAUAAAUGUUUUUUUAAAAAUUAACUGUAAAAAAGGUUUUAUUAAAGCCAGAGUAUGUAUAAAACAAUAGAUUUGUGUGUAUACUAAAGAUCAUUGUAUUACAUUACCUUUUCACAAUGAGGAUUAUUAAAGAUAUAAAUAAUCCCCCAAAUAAUAAUGUGGAAAAAAUCUCAUGUUUUUUAAACAUGUAUGUAUGAUUGAUUUUAUAUAUAUAUGCACUGUCUAAAUGUGUUUGCUUUAUAUAAUUAACUAAGUACUAUAUUGUCUUGUACAUAAGUGUUCAUAUAAACUAAAGUUAUUCAAUUGACCAGGUUUCUAUUGUUUCACUGUAAAAGUAAAAAUUCAAAGGAACAUGCUCCAACUCCAACUGCUACAUAGAUAAAGGGUGAUUGCCUGCCCAGUAAACCAAUUAUGGGAAUACAGUUCUGACCUUUGUCUCAUUGUGCUUCCAUAAGAUGAUUUAUAUUACCUGAGAAUAUAAGUUAAUUU
rnacentral:lncRNA from 1 species